rnacentral:rRNA from 1 species
ACAUGUAGGUAUCUUCCCUUUGGUGAGGAAUACACGAGGAAACUUGUGCUAAUACCUCAUAAGUCUUUACGGAGAAAGCUUUAUGCGCCAAAGGAUGAGCCUGCACUUGAUUAGUUUGUUGGUGGGGUAAUGGCUUACCAAGACUUUGAUCAAUAGCUGAUCUGAGAGGAUGAUCAGCCACAUUGGGACUGAGACACGGCCCAGACUCCUACGGGAGGCAGCAGUGG